rnacentral:lncRNA from 1 species
AUGUAUGUCCUGUUACUCUCCAAUGAUCAAUUCAUUAUUCGGUUUCCAAUGAGAAAGAGACCCAGAAAAGAUUCAGAAGGAGUCAGCAAAAAGCCUUGCUUCCUACAAGAGUUCCUGAUUUGGAUAGAGAAACAGCACAUAUGGGAACAAAGAACCUCCGACUAUGGACAGAGAUCACAGUGCAUUUGUAGGAUGGUCAGGUUUUGUGGAUACUACACACUUUGAUGUCCUCUGACCUAUCAAACCUAUCCCUUUUAGUCUCCCUUGCUGGAUCCUCAUCCAGAUCAUGCCCUCUAACUGUAAGUAUCCCACAGAGUUCUGUCCUGGGACCUCUUCUCCUUCUAUACUACUUCACUUGGUGAUUUCAUCAUCUCCCAUGGAUUUCAUUCCAUCUCUAUGCUAAUGAUUUUUAAAUCUUCUUAUCCCACUCUAAAGUCUCUGCUGAGAUCCAGCCUCACAGUUGCAAUGGCU